ACCUCUGUGGCCAAGUGGUCAAGAGUACUGACUCUCAAUCUGUAGGUGCUGGGUUAGAAUCCCGGCCAAGGUG
rfam:Asian citrus Psyllid, Diaphorina citri - Florida Strain, whole genome shotgun sequence.